rnacentral:rRNA from 1 species
GAACCGUCCAAACGUUAUUCGGAAUCACUGGGCUUAAAGGGUGCGUAGGCGGCUUGGGCAAGUUGGGGUGUGAAAUCCCUCGGCUCAACCGGGGAACCGCGCUCAAAAACUGCCAGGCUAGAGGAAGAUAGAGGUGAGCGGAACUGAUGGUGGAGCGGUGAAAUGCGUUGAUAUCAUUAGGAACACCUGUGGCGAAAGCGGCUCACUGGGUCUUUUCUGACGCUGAGGUACGAAAGCUAGGGUAGCGAACGGGAUUAGAUACCCCGGUAGUCCUAGCUGUAAACGAUGAGCACUAGGUUGGAGGCUCCUCCAUAGGCUUCCGACCGAAGCGAAAGUGUUAAGUGCUCCGCCUGGGGAGUAUGGUCGCAAGGCUG